GCUGGGCACGAAGGCACAUACCUGUAAUCCCAGCUGCUCAGGAGACUGAGGCAGGGGGAUAGCAAGUUCAGAGCCAGCCUCAGCUACUUGGUGAGGCCCUGAGCAACCCAGCAAGACCCUGUCUCUA
rnacentral:sRNA from 1 species